rnacentral:rRNA from 1 species
GAUGAACGCUGGCGGCGUGCCUAAUACAUGCAAGUCGAGCGAAUGGAUUAAGAGCUCGCUCUUAUGAAGUUAGCGGCGGACGGGUGAGUAACACGUGGGUAACCUGCCCAUAAGACUGGGAUAACUUCGGGAAACCGGGGCUAAUACCGGAUAACAUUUUGAACCGCAUGGUUCGAAAUUGAAAGGCGGCUUCGGCUGUCACUUAUGGAUGGACCCGCGUCGCAUUAGCUAGUUGGUGAGGUAACGGCUCACCAAGGCAACGAUGCGUAGCCGACCUGAGAGGGUGAUCGGCCACACUGGGACUGAGACACGGCCCAGACUCCUACGGGAGGCAGCAGUAGGGAAUCUUCCGCAAUGGACGAAAGUCUGACGGAGCAACGCCGCGUGAGUGAUGAAGGCUUUCGGGUCGUAAAACUCUGUUGUUAGGGAAGAACAAGUGCUAGUUGAAUAAGCUGGCACCUUGACGGUACCUAACCAGAAAGCCACGGCUAACUACGUGCCAGCAGCCGCUGUAA